rnacentral:rRNA from 1 species
ACGCUGGCGGCAGGCUUAACACAUGCAAGUCGAACGGUAACAGGGAUUAGCUUGCUAAUCUGCUGACGAGGGGCGGACGGGUGAGUAAUGCUUGGGAAUCUGGCUUAUGGAGGGGGAUAACUACGGGAAACUGUAGCUAAUACCGCGUAAAAUCUUCGGAUUAAAGGGUGGGACUUUCGAGCCACCUGCCAUAAGAUGAGCCCAAGUGGGAUUAGGUAGUUGGUUAGGUAAAGGCUGACCAAGCCGACGAUCUCUAGCUGGUCUGAGAGGAUGACCAGCCACACUGGAACUGAGACACGGUCCAGACUCCUACGGGAGGCAGCAGUGGGGAAUAUUGCACAAUGGGGGGAACCCUGAUGCAGCCAUGCCGCGUGAAUGAAGAAGGCCUUCGGGUUGUAAAGUUCUUUCGGUGACGAGGAAGGUUGAUAGGUUAAUAGCCUAUCAAAUUGACGUUAAUCACAGAAGAAGCACCGGCUAACUCCGUGCCAGCAGCCGCGGUAAUACGGGGGGUGCGAGCGUUAAUCGGAAUAACUGGGCGUAAAGGGCACGCAGGCGGUGACUUAAGUGAGAUGUGAAAGCCCCGAGCUUAACUUGGGAAUUGCAUUUCAUACUGGGUCGCUAGAGUACUUUAGGGAGGGGUAGAAUUCCACGUGUAGCGGUGAAAUGCGUAGAGAUGUGGAGGAAUACCGAAGGCGAAGGCAGCCCCUUGGGAAUGUACUGACGCUCAUGUGCGAAAGCGUGGGGAGCAAACAGGAUUAGAUACCCUGGUAGUCCACGCUGUAAACGAUGUCGAUUUGGGGAUUGGGCUUUGAGCUUGGUGCCCGUAGCUAACGUGAUAAAUCGACCGCCUGGGGAGUACGGCCGCAAGGUUAAAACUCAAAUGAAUUGACGGGGGCCCGCACAAGCGG